UCAAAUCCCGGCUGCCGCAGCCGCAUUUCGAUGGUGGCGAAGUGCAAAAAUGCCUAUUGUCCUAUGCAUUGGGGGCACGUUAAGGACCCCAUAGUAGUCAAAAUUAAUCCAAGUCUCCCACUAUGGCGUGCUUCAUAAUCAAAUCGUGGUUUUCACAUUUACAACACUGGAAUUCAAUUCACUUGUUUUUGUUGGCAAGGUGACAUCUCAACCUUCCGGGAGCCGUACAUAUGGCCACAGCAAAUGGAUGUACGUCCAUUUAGUCAAAUUAAUUAAGCAAAUAGAAUGUACAUUUGCAGCACGCUAACAAACCUGUCAUUGAAUACCAUGUUACUUGCAUCAAUACAAGCUGGCUAAGUGUAUAGCUCAGCAUAUGCAGAAUAGUAGCACAAUGCAUACAAACCGUUUCCCAAGGUGAAACUCUUCACAACUUUGCAAGUAAAGCCCUUCCGUGUCUUUUUUCUUGGGAUCUGUCCACUCUUGGAUGUUAAGUCAAAGGUUUAUGAAAGCCCACAGAUAUUUGAACUACUCACUUCAAAAUUCAACAAUAUUACUGUUCAAAUUCGCUUCAAACCAAAACAUUGACAUUUGUGUAAGCCUAGUUUUGUGACAUCACAACCUAUUAUUUUGCGCUAAUAUAUAUUUUUUAAGUACUGGUUAUGCCUCUGUGUCAUCCUAUGUAAUGUGUGCAUAUUUCAAACUGUGAGCUGGGUUCGCAGUGGUUUGCUGUUAUACACAUUUGCAUAUUGCACAGUAGAUUGAACACAUUGUGAUCUAAAUAAAGUACUGCAUGAUGUCAGUCAC
rnacentral:lncRNA from 1 species